CAGCAGCCGCGGGAAUACGAAGGGGGCUAGCGUUGUUCGGAAUUACUGGGCGUAAAGCGCACGUAGGCGGAUCGAUCAGUCAGGGGUGAAAUCCCAGGGCUCAACCCUGGAACUGCCUUUGAUACUGUCGAUCUGGAGUAUGGAAGAGGUGAGUGGAAUUCCGAGUGUAGAGGUGAAAUUCGUAGAUAUUCGGAGGAACACCAGUGGCGAAGGCGGCUCACUGGUCCAUUACUGACGCUGAGGUGCGAAAGCGUGGGGAGCAAACAGGAUUAGAUACCCCAGUAGUCCCUGUCUCUUAUAC
rnacentral:rRNA from 1 species